GCAAGCCUGAAAAAUAUGCCUGGCCACGGUCGCGUAUUUGCUGAGUUAAUAUGUCACCGGGCAAGUUGAAAAAUAUGCUUGGCCACCGUGGCCAGGCAUAUAUUUCAAGCUUGCCCGGUGUGGAUAUAUACACUCAGAGUAACAUCACAAACAUCGCAUAUACACCUGAGUACCGAAUAACACUAACACAGAAAAUUAAAAUAUAUUUUCCCCGAGCCAACGACGCGGUUCCGGGCGUAAGCCCGGGACGAGGGUACUAAUUCCGCCCGGCUAUUUACACCCGGGGAAAGGAAAGCAUUAGCGAAGUCUAAAGUUUAUCAAUGAUCGCGGGC
rnacentral:lncRNA from 1 species